rnacentral:tRNA from 1 species
UCAGGAGUGGCCAAGUUGGUAAGGCCCCGUACUUUGAAUACGGAAAUGCGCUGGUUCGAGCCCAGCCUCCUGAACCA